UGGGACGUGGCCAAGUGGUUAAGGCACCGGGUUUUGAUCCCGGCAUCCGGAGGUUCGAAUCCUCCCGUCCCAGUCA
rnacentral:tRNA from 1 species